AACGGGGGGAGCGAGCGUUAUUCAUCUUUACUGGGCGUAAAGGAUGCGUAGCUGGUGUAGUAAGUUAUCGGUGGCAAAUCGAGGCUCAACCUCGUGGAAGUCGGUAAUACUGCUAUGCUAGAGGAUAGGAGAGGUUAACGGAACUCCCUGUGGAGCGGUGAAAUGCGUAGAUAUAGGGAAGAACACCAAUCAGGCGAAGGCAGUUAACUAUUCUAUUCCUGACAUUGAGGCAUGAAAGCGUGGGGAGCAAAACGG
rnacentral:rRNA from 1 species